ACCGAAAUAGCUCAGUUGGCAGAGCGUUACACCUUGGAGCGAGGGUCCGUGGUUCGAUCCCGGGUUUCGGCA
rnacentral:tRNA from 1 species